CUUGCUGCAUAUCAAAUGGGCCAGUUCAUCAAGUUUGAGGAUUUAUCAGAUACUUCUUCAGGACAGAAAACUUUUACUUCUUCGGGUAUCAUUCCUGUUCCAGAUCUCCCUAAGUUGCAUGACAAUGUUAAGGGAUCUAUGUUCUUUUGCUGAGGUGCUGUGGAUAGCUUUUGGCGGACAUAUUUUGACUUUCAUUUUGACACAAGAAAAGGUCUUUGAAAACGUACAUAUUACAUAGACGGGGAAAACGACAGAUGGGUUCUUUAGGUGAGUAGUGAAAUAGGAAAUACUCGAAAUAAUAGUUUAGUUGAGUUGUGGACUCUUUGAGAUGCACAGUGCUUUCAACAAAUAGUUAACUUUAUGUUUAGGAAUUGAGUUAUCUGAACAAUCGGUUACCCAAGAAAAGUUUUAACCAUAUAAUCUUGCUACCUACGUCCUCAGUCUUCAAAGUACCAAGUCUUGAGUUCAACUAACAGAUCAAGCUAUUACAAUAGACUUUUCCAAAUGCUCUAUUCCACCGGUGCCAACCUCACCAAUACAAAUGAUAUAGAAGUUUAAGUACAAUAAUACACCCUCUCGUAAGAUGAUGAAUACAAAAUAAAAACCUAGAGAGAAAUGCACACAAAUGAAUAAUCACAAUCUUGGCUCAUGUGUUUGAAAAGAUUUACACUAGAAAAGAAUUUGGAACACUUUUAGCUAGCUUAAUAGUAAUAUAUCUGAUAGAAGCUUACACACCCCAUUUGGAAAAAAGCAAUUAACUACAAAAAAAAAUGUGGUUCAACUUGUGGUUUUGAAGCCAUGAAUUUAUUCUGAAGGAAACAGAGUUCAUAGCCUCUUUUCAUUUUCUAUGUUUUUCAGCCAUGUUUAUAUGUUUAGCUUGUUUGGACUCUUGAACUCACAAUCACCAAAGGGGCUGAUGCUUAAUGGUUGUCAAUUUCUAGCUUAAAUGUCACUAUUUUUUAGGGAUUCAAAAAUCUUACUUCUCUCACAAAGCUUGAUCUAUCUGACAAUAACAUAUCAACACUUCCCCAGAGUUGUUAUUGUGUGUGUCUUGCACAAUGCUAUAAGAAAACCAAACUUUUGCUCCUGCUGCAAACUACUACAAGAGGCCUAUUUAUAAGGACAUGCCAUUUCUUUGUUCAUUGAUCCAGAUGACCAUAAUUGUUACUAUCUUGAUUCACUUAGAAAAUGUCCUCCAAAUGAUUUGAAGAACCUUAUGAACAGUGUCUCUUCACACAUUAAGUGAAAGACAGGAAGGAAUAAAAAAAAUUACAAGUGGAAAAUAGUCAAUUGCCCUCGUCAAACAUCGUCAGUAGAGUGCGAUUUUUAUAUCAUAAGGAUGAUGAAGGACUAUUGCUUGAAUGAGACACCCAUGCGAUGGCUAACUAGUAAUUGUGGUGGGAAGAAUACAUAUACACUUGGUGAAAUUAAUGAAACUCGAAAUGAAUGGGCAGCCAAGCUUCUUGAGCGGAUGAGUCAUAGCUAGAGUAACUUUUGAAAUCAAAAUUAAAAAAAUAUAUUAAUUUUUGUUUUUAGUUAGCACUUACAUAGUUAUUGCAAGUGUAUAUUUUGAUCUUGUAAUUUUUAGAUUUUGAACAUACUGAGUUUUAUUGAUUUUGUCUGUCUGUUGAUUCUGUCUGAACUAUGCUGUAAUUACACAUGAAAUUAUAAAUGAAUAUAGUAGUUGAAAAUAGAGAAAUAAAAAAAUUCUCAUACUCUACAUGGGACGUCGGUCUCCACAAAA